AACGCGUGGGAAUCUACCUUGAGCUACGGGAUAACAGAGAGAAAUUUCUGCUAAUACCGUAUGUGGCCUUUGGGCNAAAGAUUUAUCGGCUUAAGAUGAGCCCGCGUUGGAUUAGCUGGUUGGUGGGGUAAAGGCCUACCAAGGCGACGAUCCAUAGCUGGUCUGAGAGGAUGAUCAGCCACACUGGGACUGAGACACGGCCCAGACUCCUACGGGAGGCAGCAGUGGGGAAUAUUGGACAAUGGGCGCAAGCCUGAUCCAGCCAUGCCGCGUGAGUGAAGAAGGCCUUAGGGUUGUAAAGCUCUUUCACCGGUGAAGAUAAUGACGGUAGCCGGAGAAGAAGCCCCGGCUAACUUCGUGCCAGCAGCCGCGGUAAUACGAAGGGGGCUAGCGUUGUUCGGAUUUACUGGGCGUAAAGCGCGCGUAGGCGGAUAGAUAAGUCAGAGGUGAAAUCCCGGGGCUCAACCCCGGAAUUGCCUUUGAUACUGUUUAUCUUGAGUGCAGAAGAGGUAAGUGGAAUUCCGAGUGUAGAGGUGAAAUUCGUAGAUAUUCGGAGGAACACCAGUGGCGAAGGCGGC
rnacentral:rRNA from 2 species